rnacentral:rRNA from 1 species
UGGGGAAUUGUUCGCAAUGGGCGCAAGCCUGAUCCAGCCAUGCCGCGUGGAUGAUGAAGGCCCUAGGGUUGUAAAGUCCUUUCGGCGGGGAAGAUAAUGACGGUACCCGCAGAAGAAGCCCCGGCUAACUUCGUGCCAGCAGCCGCGGUAAUACGAAGGGGGCUAGCGUUGCUCGGAAUCACUGGGCGUAAAGCGCACGUAGGCGGAUUCUUAAGUCGGUGGUGAAAUCCUGGAGCUCAACUCCAGAACUGCCUCCGAUACUGAGAGUCUUCGAGUCCGGGAGAGGUGAGUGGAACUGCGAGUGUAGAGGUGAAAUUCGUAGAUAUCUGGAGGAACACCGGUGGCGAAGGCGGCAUCCUGGACCGGUAUUGACGCUGAGUGAGCGAAAGCCAGGGGAGCAAACGGGAUUAGAUACCCAAGUAGUCCCUGAGCGGGCUGGCAAGGCGCAU